GGGCAAGUCUGGUGCCAGCAGCCGCGGUAAUUCCAGCUCCAAUAGCGUAUAUUAAAGUUGUUGCAGUUAAAAAGCUCGUAGUUGAAUUUCGGGGUCAGUAGAUCGGUCAUGCCACAGGUAUGUACUGGUCUCACUGAUUCCUCCUUCCUGAUGAACCGUAAUGCCAUUAAUUUGGUGUUGCGGGGAGACUGGACUGUUACUUUGAAAAAAUUAGAGUGUUUAAAGCAGGCUAACGCUUGAAUACAUUAGCAUGGAAUAACGGAAUAGGACGUUCGAUCUUAUUUUGUUGGUUUCUAAGAUUGACGUAAUGAUUAAUAGGGAUAGUUGGGGGCAUUAGUAUUCAAUUGUCAGAGGUGAAAUUCUUGGAUUUAUUGAAGACUAACUACUGCGAAAGCAUUUGCCAAGGAUGUUUUCAUUAAUCAGGAACGAAAGUUAGGGGAUCGAAGACGAUCAGAUACCGUCGUAGUCUUAACCAUAAACUAUGCAGACUAGGGAUCGGACGAUGUUAUUUUUUGACUCGUUCGGCACCUUACGGGAAAC
rnacentral:rRNA from 1 species